GCAUCAUCAUCCCUCUCCUCGUUUGACGCCAUUAUUUCUCUCGAUUGCACUGAAGACUGAUCGAUUCUACCGCAGGACGCUGACGCCGGGGCACGACGAGGUGCAGAAGGUGACGCUGAUCCCGCGGGGGCAGGCGCGGGGCCUGACGUGGUUCCUGCCGGGCGACGACCCGACGCUGGUGUCCAAGCGGCAGAUCUUCGCGAGGAUCGUCGGCGGGCUCGGCGGCCGUGCCGCGGAGGAGGUGAUCUUCGGCGAGCCGGAGGUGACGACGGGCGCGGCGGGGGACCUGCAGCAGGUGACGCAGGUGGCGCGGCAGAUGGUGACCACGUUCGGCAUGUCGGAGAUCGGGCCGUGGGCGCUGACGGAACAGGCGGCGCAGAGCGGG
rnacentral:lncRNA from 1 species